GCCUGGGUGGCUCAGUCGGUUGAGCAUCCGACUUUGACUCAGGUCAUGAUCUCGUGGUUUGUGAGUUCGAGCCCCACCUCGGGCU
rnacentral:tRNA from 1 species